UGGCGAUAGCGAAGAGGUCACACCCGUUCCCAUACCGAACACGGAAGUUAAGCUCUUCAGCGCCGAUGGUAGUCGGGGGUUUCCCCCUGUGAGAGUAGGACGCCGCCA
rnacentral:rRNA from 1 species